rnacentral:rRNA from 1 species
GCUCAAAUUUAAAAUCUGGCGGUCUUUGGCCGUCCGAGUUGUAGUCUAGAGAAGCGUCUUCCGCGCUGGACCGUGUACAAGUCUCUUGGAACAGAGCGUCAUAGAGGGUGAGAAUCCCGUCUUUGACACGGACUACCAGUGCUUUGUGAUGCGCUCUCAAAGAGUCGAGUUGUUUGGGAAUGCAGCUCAAAAUGGGUGGUAAAUUCCAUCUAAAGCUAAAUAUUGGCGAGAGACCGAUAGCGAACAAGUACCGUGAGGGAAAGAUGAAAAGCACUUUGGAAAGAGAGUUAAACAGUACGUGAAAUUGCUGAAAGGGAAACGCUUGAAGUCAGUCGCGUCAGUCAGAACUCAGCCUUGCCUCGGCUCGGUGCACUUUCUGAUUGACGGGCCAGCAUCAGUUUCGACUGCAGGAGAAAGGUCGGAGGAAUGUGGCACCUUCGGGUGUGUUAUAGCCUCUGACUGCAUACUGUGGUUGGGACUGAGGAACUCAGCACGUGCAAACUGUGCUUAGGAUGCUGGCGUAAUGGCUUUAAACGACCCGUCUUGAAACACGGACCAAGGAGUCUAACAUGCCUGCGAGUGUUUGGGUGGCAAACCCGAGCGCGUAAUGAAAGUGAAAGUUGGGAUCUCUGUCGUGGAGAGCACCGACGCCCGGACCAGACCUUCUGUGACGGAUCUGCGGUAGAGCAUGUAUGUUGGGACCC